CAGAUGCUGCCCUUCAUGAUGUUGAGGAGGAAGACAAAGAAAAUCAUCUUGUAGUUCAUAGUGAGAAACUGGCCAUUGUCUUUGCAAUUAUCAACACCAUCCCUGGUACACCCAUUAGAAUCACUAAGAACCUACGUGUAUGUGGAGAUUGCCACAUUGCUUCCAAGCUCAUCUCCAAGAUCACGCAACGUCUGAUUGUUGUUAGGGAUACAAAUCCCCCUGGUACACCAAUUAGAAUCACUAAGAACCUACGUGUAUGUGGAGAUUGCCACAUUGCUGCCAAGCUUAUUUCCAAGAUCACGCAACGUCUGAUUGUUGUUAGGGAUACAAAUCGCUAUCAUCACUUUCAAAAUGGAGUUUGCUCAUGUAGUGAUUAUUGGUGACUCUGCCUUGAGGUUCAAAGGUCUAUGCUUAUAUCAGUUGCUCAUUUUUGGUGACUACAAAGUUUUUAUUCUAAUUUUGCUAACAUAUCACUCUUUUCGGGCUUGCAAUCAACAAUCCUUUGAUCGCCUGAUCGCACUUUUUCCGUCUGGCAAAAUUUGCUGGAGAGUUAGUGGACACAAAUGGCAGACGCUACGAACAGUUGAAGGGAAAUUUUGGACCUAAGCUGCUCAUCGUAUAAGAGGCCUCUCUCCAGAAUUAGAUUCGUUGUACAGUAGCUAUAACCCUCGAUUUUCUUGACUUCAAUGUGAGAAAUUGUUAAAGAGGUCAAUCUCACCAAUUCAGAAGCUGUAACUUUUAUCAGCGAAUAGAAGUGUAUCUGUGGGAAAAUAAAUUUUCUUAAUUGUGAUGUUCUUAUUUCUAACUGACGUAUAGGUGAUAU
rnacentral:lncRNA from 1 species